AAGAAAGGUAGGUAAUACUUUGUGGCAGUGAGUGUCGUAUACAAAAAGCUAUUUUUAGGUUUUGCUUUCUAGGUUAAAAUUAUAGCUAAAUUAAGAAUUAGAAGGAACUAUCUUGGAUAAAUUCAAACUUGAAUCUGAGCCUAAUUGCAUCUUAUAUUGGAAAAUGUACAUUCUUUGAAGUGGAGCCUCUUACUGACAUAGCAGACAGGGGUUGUUGUCGUAGCUUCACUGUAGUGGAACAGCUUCUCGUGAUUGAGAAUUAUUUCUAGGAAAUGCAAUUUGAGAAUUUAAAAGUUUUUCUUGAAAGGAUUUAUAGGGGAGUUUUGGGGUCUUUUGGUGAUCUCAAAAGGUUAUGCCAAAUUUUGCACCUUGUGCUGUAGAGGGCCCGCCUUGUGUGGUGGCGGGCACAGAGCAUUGGUUUUCAUGACAGUGAGGGAGCGGUGCCCACCUCACAUAAUGUUAAGAGCUAAAUGGCAGUAUGUGCCCAACACCAAGGAAUUGUUCAGCUAUGGCGGUUCUUCAUCUUCCCCACCAGCCCAGACUCUUCUCUACUGUGAAGUACUGGUCAUUCUUACCAGGCAGGGGAUUCUAUUCUAAACUAAUGUCACUUCAAGGCAAGGUAAUUUUUUUUAACCUAGCCCUCAUCUUGCCAGUAAGGUGCUAGGGUGGUCGUGUGUGGGAACCGCCCAAGGUCACACUGCUGUGCUUUGACAUUUUCUGAAUAUGUAGCUGAUACUAACAACCCUGUGACUUACAGAUGAGGCAAGAAAUGUUUUUCAGAGAUGGGACGGGAGGCUGAGAUCAUAUGGACCUUCCACAUGGAGUCCAAAAUGAGAUUCACGUCUGUGGGCAGACCCGAAAAACAGGCAGUGAAGACAUGUCUCCUCUUUCUGAUUUGUGAUUGUCUGAGAAGGAAUGUUUAGAAGGUCAAGUAUCUACCUAUGCGAGGCCUUGGAGGUCAGCGUCCAGCUCCAGAAGCACAAGCCUAACUGUCCAAAGCUCUGGCAACUGCCCCUGCUCUCCUGUUUGCCCGCUGAGGACGGAGUGUUUUAGUCACGAGUCUCCCGAGUGGCUGACCCACGGCCGUGGGUGCAUGGAGGUCACACAGAGCAGCCCCUCAUCGCUACAUCUCGUGCUUGCAGCCUCGUACGAAUCUGGCAGCCAGUGGCCUGUGGGCGGGGCCCAGCGGACUGUUCACUCAGUACCCCCUAGGAAUGGUUGCCAUCCGGCCCCUGGCCUCUGCGAAGCCAGGUUCAAUUUGUAGGAUAGCACUUGGGGAACUUUGGAUUAAAUUAAGGAACAUUCUUCAAGUUGGAUACUUGUAAGUGCCUCCAGCCGGUUUCAGUUCCUCCAACCCCAGGCUCGCUUCUGCACCCCUCCAGAGCCGUGCGCACCGCGGAGCUGUGGCCCAGCCCUCGCUCCCUGGGUGGCGGUCCCAGGCCAGGGGGUGGAGCUGCGGCGGCGCGGGGAGGGCCGUGGGGGCGGGGCCGCAGCCGGGGGCGGCGCGGGCCGGGAGCGCGGGGAGCCGAGAGGCAGACGCCGGGCCGGCAUGGCGUGGCCCUGCAUCAGCCGCCUCUGCUGCCUGGCGCGGCGCUGGAACCAGCUGGACCGCUCCGACGUGGCCGUGCCGCUGACCCUGCACAGCUACUCGGACCUCGAGAGCGAGGAGCCAAUCCCGGGCGGUGUUCCCUCGCGCAGAGGCCCAUCUCCCGCAGGCUCCCGGGACCCUGGCCGGGAUGUGCCUCUCACUCAGUACCAGCGGGACUUCGGCGUGUGGACGGCGCCCUCGGGGUCCAGAGAUGCAACGCAGGGACGCGGACCGGGAGCAAGCAGCCGCAGGACCAAGCCCUCCGCAACCCCCGGCCGGGGGGUCUACGUGCUCCCCAUCGGCGACGCGGAUGCGGCUGCAGUGGCAACCACAUCAUACAGACAGGAAUUCCAGGCUUGGACUGGAGUGAAGCCAUCAAGAUCCACAAAAGUGAAGCCCGCCAAAGUCAUCACAACCCACAGCUCUGGAUGGGAUGGCAGCCCCAGGGCCGGUUUCCAGGCCCCUGAGGUGAGGAAAAAGUUUGCCCCUAACCCCUCAGCCAUCUUUCAGGCCUCGGCUCCCCGGAUCCUCAACGUGUGACUGCCCACUGAAGAGCAAGCCACAGGGGAUCAGAACUCACCACCGGGGGCUGCGGCGAGGCCUCAGGACCGGACGGCCCUGUCAGGGGAGGGUCCUCCGUUCUCACCAGGGGGCACCACUCCUCGGCAAGCCACACAGGGCGCCCUUCAGUUUUUAAAUCUGAAGGCCUCGAUCAUUUCUACUGUGAACUGAAUUGGUCUCUGGGGGUUGAGGAAUAUGGACAUAACAGAUCCUUGAAAGAUCCAGUAACGUCCAGGCUGUAUGAUGAUUUUAUAACCUAUUUUGGUAACUCAAGGUAAUGUCCUUGGAUAGUCCCACCAGCGGCCCCCCACAGGUUGUAGAAGAAAUCUUAGGUUAUCACCUGCAUGUGAUUCAUAAUGCUAAGUAACCAGAAACAAGUUUCCCAAAGGAACAGAAGAAUAUCAAUCAUAGGGUAUCUUUUUUAAAAAUGUAAUUUCUUUAUGGCCAAGAUGACCCUGGUUUUAACAAAACAUUUCUUGGGAUGAGUGACGUGCUGAAUGAAGGACAUUUAUCUUGUUGGUUUCUGGGAGUGUCUUUGGGGCAAGGGUGGCCCAAAAGGCCUUAAAAUGUCAUCUCAUUACAGGGAGCUCACUAGCUGCUGAGGAACCAGCUCAUUUUGGUUUUGGAAGUCCCUCUGCUGACUUUAUCGACCAACUCCAGCCAGUGCAGCCACCUGGAACCAGCUUGGUUCUCCUCUUUGCAAGCAGCCCUUGAAACGUUUGUGUCCUUUUAGAGAUUAUAGGCACAAACUAAGGACAGUUUUGGAUUUUAGGUCAAACUCCAAAAAGCAGCAGUUGAGAGAACUUUGGCUGUGCAGCCCGCCCCAGGCCGACGGGGGAUCCUUUGAGCUCUGCUGGCCACACACAGGCUCCUCCAGUGAGGAAGAGAGUCCCCGAUAAGGUACCGUGACACUGUCCAGUGGCUGCUGUCGGAACUGUGGCUGACACACAGAACAUUCAGCAAAGGGGCCUGAGCAAUGCCCCUAUUCUUCUCCAGACCAUCGGACUCCCUGAAGGCUGACACCAAGUGAAGUCUCAUACUUGGAUUGUCUCCCAGGGCCUCCUCCCCAAAGAACUUAUCUUUGAAGAACCAAAGCUUCCAAAACAAAGCCUUUAGUUCUUAUUAAGGGUGGAUAUAAAUAGUCAUUUCUGAGAUACUUCUGCAGUUCCUGUAGUUUUUUCUGUGGUAGCAGAUGGUCCCAGCAGGACCGGGUCACAGGAGUAACUUUUUCCAGGCCUCAGCAGAGACCCAUUCUUGCCAAACGGACCAGUGUGCUUCCUGGUUGGACACCAGGAGCUGUUUCCCUCAUUGCCUUGGCUUUAAGGAGGGUCUGAUCUCAGGUUGUUUUCCUUCACUCUAGGCUGUCAGAAAUCAUAUGUCCAGGGCCAAAAUGCAUCCUUCCAAAACUUUUUCAGAUUUUUAUAUAACCAUAAUCCUUCUUUUACUAGCUGCAAAUUCUUUUUGAAAACAAGUGGAAGAAUUAAAUACACAAACCCCUACA